GAUUAACGCUGGCGGUAUGCCUAACACAUGCAAGUCGAACGAGACCUUCGGGUCUAGUGGCGGACGGGUGAGUAACACGUUGGAACCUACCCCAAACGUAGGGGAAGUAACUGGCCGAAAGGUACGGCUAAUACCCCACUAGUCUCCGUCUUGUACGGAGUAAAGCUUUCGCGCUUUGGGAGGGGCCUGCGUAGCAUUAGCUUGUUGGUGAGGUAAAAGCUCACCAAGGCAACGAUGCUUAGCUGGAUCGAGAGGUUGACCAGCCACACUGGGACUGAGAUACGGCCCAGACUCCUACGGGAGGCAGCAGUGAGGAAUCUUCCACAAUGGGCGCAAGCCUGAUGGAGCAAUACUGCGUGCAGGAAGACGCUUUUCGGAGUGUAAACUGCUUUUAUCUGCGAAGAUUAUGACGGUAGCAGAUGAAUAAGGAUCGGCU
rnacentral:rRNA from 1 species